AGGUUCUGCUUAUCCUCUCUUUAAGUCUGGGCCCGCGAUUUUUCUCUCUCCACUCAGAGGAGUCUCCACCAUUGUGGCCCGGCCCCCUCACUUCGCCCUUUACGACCGAGCCUGCUUCUUUAAAUAGCUUGGACGGUUCUUUUUCUCUGCCCCGCCCCAUCCUUUUUUCAUUUUAAUCGAUCUUUCUUAUAUCUAACCCCGCCUCUUCGGUUUUCUGUGCUGCCAACCCAGCCAACUUUAGAGGUGUAUCCCACCUCCUGCAACACCUCGCCCAGCCCCUGUUCUCGGAAAGAUCCAAUCGUUGUGUUUUAUCUGCUGCCCCACCCCACUACGCUGGCCCGGUUAGAGUCCCCGCCCUUCUCUCUCUGCUUCAACUCCGCCCCACUAUCCCUUAGACCAGUCACUUCGGUUAAUCUCCAAUUUAGGCCCCGCCCUCGUAUUUAUUGCCUUUCCCCACCCAAUCUCGUUUGUCUCUCCCCUGAGGCCCCGCCCCCAAGGCCCCGCCCCUACAGCCCCGCCCCCCCGGCCAAUGUUGAGCUCAGUCUGCGUCUCCUCCUUCCGCCGGCGCCAGGGGGCCAGCAAGCAGCAGCCUGCACUGCCGCCGCAGCCUCCCGACACCCCGCCGCCGCCAGCGCCGCCGCUGCAGCAGCAGCAGCAGCCUGCGCAGCCCGGCCCUGCCGCGUCCCCGGCGGGCCCCCCGGCAUCCCACGGGCCCGGGGACCGGCGCGCCGAGCCAUGCCCCGGGCUGCCGGCGGCGGCCAUGGGGAGGCACGGCGGCGGCGGUGGCGACAGCGGCAAGAUCGUGAUCAACGUGGGCGGCGUGCGCCAUGAGACGUACCGCUCGACGCUGCGCACCCUGCCGGGUACGCGUCUGGCCGGUCUGACGGAGCCUGAGGCGGCGGCGCGCUUCGACUACGACCCCGGCACCGACGAGUUCUUCUUCGACCGGCACCCGGGCGUCUUCGCCUACGUGCUCAACUACUACCGCACGGGCAAGCUGCACUGCCCGGCCGACGUGUGCGGGCCGCUCUUCGAGGAGGAGCUCGGCUUCUGGGGCAUCGACGAGACCGACGUGGAAGCCUGCUGCUGGAUGACCUACCGACAGCACCGCGAUGCUGAGGAAGCACUCGACUCCUUCGAGGCGCCCGACUCUUCGGGCGCCGCCAACGCUGCCAACGCCGGGGGCGCCCACGACGCGGGCCUGGACGACGAGGCGGGCGCGGGCGGCGGUGGCCUGGACGGCGCAGGCGGCGAGCUCAAGCGCCUCUGCUUCCAGGACGCGGGCGGCGGUGCUGGGGGGCCGCCAGGGGGCGCGGGCGGCGCGGGCGGCACGUGGUGGCGCCGCUGGCAGCCUCGAGUGUGGGCGCUCUUCGAGGACCCCUACUCGUCGCGGGCAGCCAGGUAUGUGGCCUUCGCCUCCCUCUUCUUCAUCCUCAUCUCCAUCACCACCUUCUGCCUGGAGACCCACGAGGGCUUCAUCCACAUCAGCAACAAGACGGUGACGCAGGCCUCCCCGAUCCCCGGGGCCCCACCAGAGAACAUCACCAACGUGGAGGUGGAGACGGAGCCCUUCCUGACUUACGUGGAGGGUGUGUGCGUGGUCUGGUUCACCUUUGAGUUCCUCAUGCGCAUCACUUUCUGCCCGGACAAGGUGGAGUUUCUCAAGAGCAGCCUCAACAUCAUCGACUGUGUGGCCAUCCUGCCCUUCUAUCUUGAGGUGGGCCUCUCCGGCCUCAGCUCCAAGGCCGCCAAGGAUGUGCUGGGCUUCCUGCGGGUCGUCCGCUUCGUGCGCAUCCUGCGCAUCUUCAAGCUCACGCGCCACUUUGUGGGGCUGCGCGUGCUGGGCCACACGCUCCGUGCCAGCACCAACGAGUUCCUGCUGCUCAUCAUCUUCCUGGCGCUGGGCGUGCUCAUCUUUGCCACCAUGAUCUACUACGCCGAGCGCAUUGGCGCCGACCCAGAUGACAUUCUGGGCUCCAACCACACCUACUUCAAGAACAUCCCCAUCGGCUUCUGGUGGGCCGUGGUCACCAUGACCACCCUGGGCUAUGGAGACAUGUACCCCAAGACGUGGUCGGGGAUGCUGGUCGGGGCGCUUUGUGCCCUGGCCGGGGUGCUCACCAUCGCCAUGCCCGUGCCUGUCAUCGUCAACAACUUUGGCAUGUACUAUUCGCUGGCCAUGGCCAAGCAGAAGCUGCCCAAGAAGAAGAAUAAACACAUCCCCCGGCCCCCGCAGCCUGGCUCACCCAACUACUGCAAGCCCGACCCACCCCCACCGCCCCCGCCCCACCCUCACCAUGGCAGUGGCGGUAUCAGCCCCCCGCCACCCAUCACCCCGCCCUCCAUGGGGGUGACUAUGGCUGGGGCCUACCCACCCGGGCCCCACACGCACCCCGGGCUGCUCAGGGGGGGAGCGGGUGGGCUCGGGAUCAUGGGGCUGCCCCCUCUGCCAGCCCCUGGGGAGCCUUGCCCAUUGGCUCAGGAGGAAGUAAUUGAGAUCAACCGAGCAGAUCCCCGCCCCAACGGGGACCCAGCAGCAGCUGCGCUCGCGCAUGAGGACUGCCCGGCCAUCGACCAGCCCGCCAUGUCCCCGGAAGACAAGAGCCCCAUCACCCCCGGGAGCCGGGGCCGCUACAGCCGGGACCGAGCCUGCUUCCUCCUCACUGACUACGCUCCCUCCCCUGACGGCUCCAUCCGGAAAGCUCUUGUCACCGCCUGAGGCCUCGCGAGACUCUCGGUCCCCCCCUGCCCCUUCCCCCCAGGUUAGCAAUGGGAAAUGGCUGGGAAGGGGUGUCCCCAAGGUAGUGGGCUUCCAACCCCUCAGGCUCGCUCUCCUAUGGCCAAGACACUGUUGUCCAGACAGACCCCCUGGCUCCGCUUAGAAAAGCCCCUGACACUGGCAGAACUGUUAAGACACUGCUAAGCUUCCACAGAAACCACUCAUUGCGCCCGGAUCUUAGAUCCCUGUGGCUGUCCAGACACCGUUAGAACCUCCCCAUCAGAAGGCUCCCACUGAGGCUCCCUGGCCCCUGAAAGAGGCCCCACGUGACCUUCAGGUGAGCCUACACUCUCAGGCUGCCCUCUGAGCUACUCUCUGCCCCAUGGGCCCUGCGGGCUUCGGCUCCAUCCUUCAGCCCCUCACAGCGCCCCCUCUCCUUUCUCGACAUCUAGGUUACGAGAAAUCCCGCAGCCUGAGCAGCAUCGCGGGCCUGAGCGGGGUGUCUCUGCGCCUCGCGCCCCUUGCCACUCCCCCUGGCUCUCCCAGGGCCACCCGCCG